GCAGGAUCUUUCUCUGACAUUAUAUUCGACGCAAGGAUCGUCUAGCCGUCGGAGUUGAAAGUUUGUCCUGUUGCGAAAAAUCUUCAUAGGUUCGUAAGUCUUCUUUGAGAAAGUUUUACGUCGAGACUCCCGGAGGCAGCACUUCCUCUCGUCCGGGCGACUCAAUUCUUUCCCCAGGAGCAUUCUGUCCGUUCCACAUACGCGUAUAACGGUUUUAAGGUCCAGUAUACGUGUCUCUAUGAUCGUCAUAAUGCCUGCGUCUAUUCAAGUGUCGCUUUCGUCAUCGAUGGACGUUACAAUUCUUACGUCAUGUGACUGGAUGGUCUUUCGUGUAUCCGAUAAUUGACGAAUCUCCACUAUCGUCUGUGUCUCUCUCGACGUCAAGAGGUGAACAUGUGAACACGAAUGGUACAUUCCACUCGUGCGACUCCAUUCCGUCGGGAUCUUCCUCCGGAAGCAGGAGGAGGCUAAUGCAGACAUCACCCCAGGCACAAAGACCUCAGUAGCAUUGUUACUUUAUACUUCGCGAUUCGUUUACAAAU